rnacentral:rRNA from 1 species
GAUGAACGCUGGCGGCGUGCCUAAUACAUGCAAGUCGAGCGAACGGACGAGAAGCUUGCUUCUCUGAUGUUAGCGGCGGACGGGUGAGUAACACGUGGAUAACCUACCUAUAAGACUGGGAUAACUUCGGGAAACCGGAGCUAAUACCGGAUAAUAUUUUGAACCGCAUGGUUCAAAAGUGAAAGACGGUCUUGCUGUCACUUAUAGCUGGAUCCGCGCUGCAUUAGCUAGUUGGUAAGGUAACGGCUUACCAAGGCAACGAUGCAUAGCCGACCUGAGAGGGUGAUCGGCCACACUGGAACUGAGACACGGUCCAGACUCCUACGGGAGGCAGCAGUAGGGAAUCUUCCGCAAUGGGCGAAAGCCUGACGGAGCAACGCCGCGUGAGUGAUGAAGGUCUUCGGAUCGUAAAACUCUGUUAUUAGGGAAGAACAUAUGUGUAAGUAACUGUGCACACCUUGACGGUACCUAAUCAGAAAGCCACGGCUAACUACGUG